UAUGUCUACUCUGUAUCACUUUCUGUGAUAAAAUCAUGCUCGGGAUGGAGUGGGGCUUGCAUAGGCUUGACCGUCUUAGUCAGUUGGAGAUUGAAGGUGGAUGUAAAAACGUGGAGUCAUUUCCAGAGGAGAAGUUGCUUCCCAGCAAUCUCAACUCUCUAUGCAUCCGCAGGCUUUCGAAUCUCAAAUAUCUGGACUACAAGGGGCUUCAACACCUUACUGCUCUGAAUUCACUUGAGAUUAGCUGCUGUGAUGAACUCCAGUCCUUGCCUGAAGAGUGUCUUCCAUCUUCCCUAUCUCUUCUCUGCAUCGGAGUGCUCUUUGCUGAAAUCAAACUUUUAAAUAAUAAAGGAAAAGAAUGGUUCAAGUUGGCUCAUAUCUCUUGCGUAGAAAUAGAUGAGGAAGUAAUAAAAGACUGGUCCGAGGUAGCUAAUGUCUCUUGCAAGGAAACUGAUGAGGAUGUAAAUCUCCUGGAAGAGCCCUAGUUUGAAGCAAUGAAAAUGAAAUUUCAGCAAGACUUCUUCGUAUUGGAUCACCAGUAAUUGCUAAUUUCCUACAUGGGUUCUUCUGCAGUUAUUCACAUUGGGUCUCCUACUUCAUGUUUUUGUUGUGUAUUUUUCUGCCUCUGUUUCGUGAUCAAAGAAAAGUGUCAUGUGAAUCUUUUUUCGGGCUUCCAACUCCAGCUCUCUGCAAAAGUUUGAGGAAUUUCCCAUUGCUCGAAGCAUUAUGUGGCUCAAAGGCGUCUUCUUAUAUGGGGGAGUUAUAGCAUUAGAAGAAGGCACUAAAAUAAGUGGAGCAGAUUUCUUCACCGAACUAGUUUGGUAUAUUAUGGGGUAUAAAGAUGCGUGUUAUUUAAGUUGGAUGUUGUUAAAGUGUUUGUUUAUGUUUUUAAGUGAAGUGUGUCAUUAUAUGUUUCGAAGUCUUGGGAUUGUAAGUUGACAUUGAUUUAAGAAACAGCUAGAAAGAAGUCUGAGUUGGGUGUAAACAAGAUAAAACUUGAUUUAAAUUUGUGAGGGUUUGCUAGUGUGUUUAAUAGGAGUUGGUCGAAUGUUUGUAAUUCAUAUUGUUGGUAAUGGAUUUUGAUUGGCAAUA